rnacentral:rRNA from 1 species
GGUUAAGCGACUAAGCGUACACGGUGGAUGCCCUGGCAGUCAGAGGCGAUGAAGGACGUGCUAAUCUGCGAAAAGCGACGGCGAGGUGAUAUGAACCCUUGACCCGUCGAUGUCCGAAUGGGGAAACCCAGUGCAAUCCGUUGCACUAUCGUUAACUGAAUACAUAGGUUAACGAGGCGAACCGGGGGAACUGAAACAUCUAAGUACCCCGAGGAAAAGAAAUCAACCGAGAUUCCCCCAGUAGCGGCGAGCGAACGGGGAGCAGCCCGGAGUCUGAAUCAGCUUGUGUGUUAGUGGAACGGUCUGGAAAGUCCGACGGUACAGGGUGAUAGUCCCGUACACGAAAACACACUUGUUGUGAACUCGAAGAGUAGGGCGGGACACGUGGUAUCCUGUCUGAAUAUGGGGGGACCAUCCUCCAAGGCUAAAUACUCCUGACUGACCGAUAGUGAACCAGUACCGUGAGGGAAAGGCGAAAAGAACCCCGGCGAGGGGAGUGAAAAAGAACCUGAAACCGUGUACGUACAAGCAGUGGGAGCCUCUUUAUGGGGUGACUGCGUACCUUUUGUAUAAUGGGUCAGCGACUUAUAUUCUGUAGCAAGGUUAACCGUAUAGGGGAGCCGAAGGGAAACCGAGUCUUAACUGGGCGUUAAGUUGCAGGGUAUAGACCCGAAACCCGGUGAUCUAGCCAUGGGCAGGUUGAAGGUUGGGUAACACUAACUGGAGGACCGAACCGACUAAUGUUGAAAAAUUAGCGGAUGACCUGUGGCUGGGGGUGAAAGGCCAAUCAAACCGGGAGAUAGCUGGUUCUCCCCGAAAGCUAUUUAGGUAGCGCCUCGUGAACUCAUCUUCGGGGGUAGAGCACUGUUUCGGCUAGGGGGCCAUCCCGGCUUACCAACCCGAUGCAAACUACGAAUACCGAAGAAUGUUAUCACGGGAGACACACGGCGGGUGCUAACGUCCGUCGUGAAGAGGGAAACAACCCAGACCGCCAGCUAAGGUCCCAAAGUCAUGGUUAAGUGGGAAACGAUGUGGGAAGGCACAGACAGCCAGGAUGUUGGCUUAGAAGCAGCCAUCAUUUAAAGAAAGCGUAAUAGCUCACUGGUCGAGUCGGCCUGCGCGGAAGAUGUAACGGGGCUAAACCAUGCACCGAAGCUGCGGCAGCGACACUAUGUGUUGUUGGGUAGGGGAGCGUUCUGUAAGCCGUUGAAGGUGGCCUGUGAGGGUUGCUGGAGGUAUCAGAAGUGCGAAUGCUGACAUAAGUAACGAUAAAGCGGGUGAAAAGCCCGCUCGCCGGAAGACCAAGGGUUCCUGUCCAACGUUAAUCGGGGCAGGGUGAGUCGACCCCUAAGGCGAGGCCGAAAGGCGUAGUCGAUGGGAAACAGGUUAAUAUUCCUGUACUUGGUGUUACUGCGAAGGGGGGACGGAGAAGGCUAUGUCAGCCGGGCGACGGUUGUCCCGGUUUAAGCAUGUAGGCGGAGGUUCCAGGUAAAUCCGGUACCUUUUAACGCUGAGGUGUGAUGACGAGGCACUACGGUGCUGAAGUGAUAAAUGCCCUGCUUCCAGGAAAAGCCUCUAAGCAUCAGGUAACACGAAAUCGUACCCCAAACCGACACAGGUGGUCAGGUAGAGAAUACCAAGGCGCUUGAGAGAACUCGGGUGAAGGAACUAGGCAAAAUGGUGCCGUAACUUCGGGAGAAGGCACGCUGAUAUGUAGGUGAAGCCCCUGCGGGCGGAGCUGAAAUCAGUCGAAGAUACCAGCUGGCUGCAACUGUUUAUUAAAAACACAGCACUGUGCAAACACGAAAGUGGACGUAUACGGUGUGACGCCUGCCCGGUGCCGGAAGGUUAAUUGAUGGGGUUAGCGGCAACGCGAAGCUCUUGAUCGAAGCCCCGGUAAACGGCGGCCGUAACUAUAACGGUCCUAAGGUAGCGAAAUUCCUUGUCGGGUAAGUUCCGACCUGCACGAAUGGCGUAAUGAUGGCCAGGCUGUCUCCACCCGAGACUCAGUGAAAUUGAACUCGCUGUGAAGAUGCAGUGUACCCGCGGCAAGACGGAAAGACCCCGUGAACCUUUACUAUAGCUUGACACUGAACACUGGUCCUUGAUGUGUAGGAUAGGUGGGAGGCUUUGAAGCGUGGACGCCAGUCUGCGUGGAGCCGCCCUUGAAAUACCACCCUUUAAUGGCUGGUGUUCUAACGUAGACCCGUAAUCCGGGUUGCGGACAGUGUCUGGUGGGUAGUUUGACUGGGGCGGUCUCCUCCCAAAGAGUAACGGAGGAGCACGAAGGUUGGCUAAUCCUGGUCGGACAUCAGGAGGUUAGUGCAAUGGCAUAAGCCAGCUUGACUGCGAGCGUGACGGCGCGAGCAGGUGCGAAAGCAGGUCAUAGUGAUCCGGUGGUUCUGAAUGGAAGGGCCAUCGCUCAACGGAUAAAAGGUACUCCGGGGAUAACAGGCUGAUACCGCCCAAGAGUUCAUAUCGACGGCGGUGUUUGGCACCUCGAUGUCGGCUCAUCACAUCCUGGGGCUGAAGUAGGUCCCAAGGGUAUGGCUGUUCGCCAUUUAAAGUGGUACGCGAGCUGGGUUUAGAACGUCGUGAGACAGUUCGGUCCCUAUCUGCCGUGGGCGCUGGAGAAUUGAGGGGGGCUGCUCCUAGUACGAGAGGACCGGAGUGGACGCAUCACUGGUGUUCGGGUUGUCAUGCCAAUGGCACUGCCCGGUAGCUAAAUGCGGAAGAGAUAAGUGCUGAAAGCAUCUAAGCACGAAACUUGCCCCGAGAUGAGUUCUCCCUGAGACUUUAAGUCUCCUGAAGGAACGUUGAAGACGACGACGUUGAUAGGUCGGGUGUGUAAGCGCAGCGAUGCGUUGAGCUAACCGAUACUAAUGAACCGUGAGGCUUAACCUU